GAUUCCAGGAUUAACCGGUGCAGGAGAUCUACCGCCUCCAGUUGAUCUACCAGGUCCUCCUGCUCUUCCUAUAGAAG